rnacentral:rRNA from 1 species
GAUGAACGCUGGCGGCGUGCUUAACACAUGCAAGUCGAACGGGAAACCUUUUAUUGCUGCUUCGGCCGAUUUAGCUGGUUUCUAGUGGCGGGCGGGUGAGUAACGCGUGGGUAAUCUUCCUUAUACAGGGGGGUAACAACCAGAAAUUGUUGCUAAUACCGCAUGAGCGCACAGGACCGCAUGGUUCGGUGUGCACAAGUCCGGUGGUAGAAGAUGGACCCGCGUUGGGUUAGCUAGUUGGCAGGGUAACGGCCUAACAAGGCGACGAUCCAUAGCCGGCCGGAGAAGGAGAACGGCCACAUUGGGACGGAGACACGGGCCAGACUCCUACGGGAUGCAGCAGUGGGGAAUAUUGCACAAUGGGGGAAACCCUGAUGGACCGACGCCGCGUGAAGGAAGAAGUAUCUCGAUAUGAAAACUUCGAUCAGCAGGGAAGAUAGUGACGGUACCUGACUAAGAAGCCCCGGCUAACUACGUG